GACGAACGCUGGCGGCGUGCUUAACACAUGCAAGUCGAACGAAGUGGCGAACGGGUUAUUAAUACGUCGGUAACCUGCCCUCCUUUUUGGGAUAAGCCUUGGAAACGGGGUCUAAUACCGAAUAAAGGGGGAUGGGCUCGCGGCAUAUCAGCUUGUUGGUGGGGUGAUGGCCUACCAAGGCGGUGACGGGUAGCCGGCCUGAUAGGGUGACCGGCAACAUUGGGAUUGAGAUACGGCCCAGACUGCUAGGGGAGGCAGUAGUGGGGGAUUUUGCACAAGGGACGAAAGCCUGAUGAGGGGAUGUCGUGUUGGGGCGACAGGCGAUAGGUAUGUAAGCUCGUUCGGCGGCAGAGUGGGUAAGCGGAGAAGAAGUCAAGGAUAAGUACGUGCAUGCAGCCGCGGUAAUAC
rnacentral:rRNA from 1 species